CCAUGAGAUCUUUCUGCGUCUCAAACAACGCACGUGCGUAAUUAAAUGUCAUGGAAACAGAAUGACCGUGACGUCAUGUCGGCCUAUAUAAAGGCCAGCAGACCUUUCAUUCCUCACUUUGCACCUGGACCUGGACGUGAGUUGAAAACCUCUUGACCCAAAAUGUGGAAAGCGAACUUUUAGAAACUUCUAAAAACAGACCUUGUUAAAAAAACAACAACUUCUGCUUCACGCUACUUUGUGUAAAACCCGAGGAGGCUGAAUAAUACUUCAGUGGACCACUGGUCGCUGAGGACCACCUGCUGGUCUGCCUACCACCCAGCUGGACGAUAACCCUGCAGGUAGUGUUAAUUACAUCACUGACCAUCCUGCAUCUGUGUUUUAUUAACUGUCACACUGUUAGUGUGAGAGUCUGCAACACUCCAGCCAACUUGUACUACAGUUAAACUUUGAGCUGCAAACAUAUCCGCAAGGAUGUUUGAACCACCUUUCUCCCAACGAAAGAGAAAAGGAGACCCAGUUGAAUCAUCUGUGGUAAAAAAGAGCAGACCAUGCUCCUUCUCUAGUGGAAGAGUCUCCUCAGAUGCUCCAGCCACCCCAGCACCACUUUUAGA